rnacentral:rRNA from 1 species
AGCAGUCGCCGCGGUAAUACGGAGGAUCCGAGCGUUAUCCGGAAUUAUUGGGUUUAAAGGGUGCGUAGGCGGAUAGAUAAGUCAGUGGUGAAAGACGGUGGCUCAACCAUCGCAGUGCCGUUGAUACUGUUUAUCUUGAAUAUGGAUGAGGUAGGCGGAAUGUGGCAAGUAGCGGUGAAAUGCAUAGAUAUGCCACAGAACACCGAUUGCGAAGGCAGCUUACCAAGGCAAAAUUGACGCUGAGGCACGAAAGCGUGGGGAUCGAACAGGAUUAGAUACCCCUGUAGUCCCUGUCUCUUAUAC